AUUGAACGCUGGCGGCAGGCCUAACACAUGCAAGUCGAGCGAGCGGCGGACGGGUGAGUAAUGUAUGGGGACUGCCCGCUAGAGGGGGAUAACUACUGGAAACGGUGGCUAAUACCGCAUACUAUCGGAUAACCCAUAUGGGAUUAGCUAGUAGGUGGGGUAAAGGCUCACCUAGGCGACGAUCGCUAGCUGGUCUGAGAGUAUGAUCAGCCACACUGGGACUGAGACACGGCCCAGACUCCUACGGAGGCAGCAGUGGGGAAUAUUGGACAAUGGGGGCAACCCGGAGGCAGCCAUGCCGCGUGUAUGAAGAAGGCCUUAGGGUUGUAAAGUACUUUCAGCGGGGAGGCGUUACCCGCAGAAGAAGCACCGGCUAACUCAGUGCCAGCAGCCGCGGUAAUAC
rnacentral:rRNA from 1 species